GGGCCCUUAGCUCAGUGGUAGAGCGAUCGGUUGGCAAUCGGUAGGCCACGGGUUCGAUCCCCGUAGGGUCCA
rnacentral:tRNA from 1 species